UUAGAAGCGGACCUUUUCUUCUCUCAUCUCCCCUUUCCCUCUUCCUCUACCUCAAUCUCUUCCCCACUCCCCACUGCCGAUCCUCCCCACUCAUCAUCUCCGCCGUUCCAUUCCGCCCCCCCUCAACGCCGUCCCCGCCUCCACUGCUUUCGUCGAACACCUUCUGCCCGAGCAGGAGGAGGAUUGGGAUUUGAACAAUAAGGCGCAGAGCGACGUUUUCUAUCUCUAGAUCCACCGAAAGCCGAAGAGAUAUUCAGAAGUCCGACGCCGACACAAGGACCGAUGAUGCUUCUGGUCGAUAACGGUGACGAGGAGUAGCGAUGUGAGCUCGUGUGAGCAUCGGAAAGGCAGGGUAUCACCAAGGAGGCGACGGCCCGGUUCUCUAUGUCGGCGAGGAGAGAUCAGAAAUCAGGGAUUGAAGAAGAAGUUCCUCAAGGAAAGUGAAGGAUUUGGAACCCCUGAAGAGCAGUCACGAGGUUGAAGUACAUUACACAGUUCGAUUUGAGCGGCGACGAUAGGGGGACGCCUUUGAAGUUCACUGUCAGUAGAGGUGAGGGAGUUCAUUGACAGUAGGGCGACAAUAGGCCCUUGUUCUUCAGAUUUUCUAAAGCCACCCCCAGUUGCACAGAGAUCCUGUACCACCACCACCACCACCAGGACCCUCCUUCUCUCUCUCUCUCUCCAAGUAAAGAUUGGUAUUUUACAUCUUCACCAUUGUAUCAGUUGUCUGCUAUUUCCUUGCUAAUGGCUUCAUAGCCAUUCUGAUUUUGAUAUCCCAGUUCGCCUUUUAUGGGGCUGCUCUGCUACAUCUUUUCAUCAAGAAAAGGUUUCAAUUGGGGGGAAAAACUUCUCAAUGGUUUGUGAAUAUAGCCUCUGUUUUCUGUUCAUGGAAGGUGGGAAGGGUUGUAAGAGCUAAUCCACUAAUGGUUACAGCACUUGCUGCAAUUACUUUGGCAUGCUUGGUUCAUCCAGGUUAGGGUCUACUUGUUCUCUUGCUCUCUCAUGCUUUGUGCUGUCAUACUGCUCUUUGCAGUUUUUUGACAGCUUCAUUUCGCAGCCAUGCACGAAGACAUGAAUUAUUUGAUUAUAAGAAAGACGGAAAUGGUGGGCCUGACAAACUUACAUUCAAACGUGAUGGAUUAUCUUGAUGAGUGGGAUAAGCAAGAAUGCUUUAGAGGAGCUGUCAUUUGAAAGAAGUUCUGAUGAUCGCAUACCCCUUAUAUAUGCAAUAUCAUUAGGUUUGCCAUCCUUAAAAACACCGCUCAUUCAUGACAAUUGGUGGUCGAUGGAAUUCCACUGAUAGCUCUUUAAUUCAAACUGCAAUAAGAUAUGGAAAGGAUGUUGCGAAACUUGAUCUGCAGAACUACAAGAACUGGAAUCGUUUUCUUAAGAUACACUACGAUAGGAUUGGGAAAGAUGGAUUCUUUAGCCCAUAAAGAGAUUAUUGCAAAGUGGUGUGAUAAUAAGUCUUACGGAUUUGAUUUUGUACUCAUCUUAUCGAGUUAAGUGUAAGAUAUAUGUAGUGGCAUCUGUUAGGAAUGAAAAUUUUAUGAAGUGUUUCUUUUACAUUCAGCUUCUUAUAUAUAUGACAUGAGGGUAAUAUGAAUAUGACAUUUGAGCAAUAUAA